AAAUGAAAAACGAAUAUUUAUUUAUGAAAGUAAAAUACUUGAACUAGAACAACAAUUAGAAUCAAACAAACGCGUCUACCAAGAAGAAAGAAAAAAAAAUCUGAAUGGGUUAGAAAUUAUUAGAGAUCAAUUUUCAAAUUAUAUCAAUUUAAUGAAACAGAAUAAUAGGAAUUAGUCCAACACUCGUAAAUACAACUACAUCAGCUAAUGUUUAAUCAGCUAACUUAGUUAUCAUUAGGAAUAGCUGCAAUAGUUACCUAUCUAGUGCCUGGUACAAAAUAGUGGUCAGAAGUAGGAUCUUUUGGGAAGAAAUAUUUAAGAAUUUAAGAAAUAUUUACUUAUUGAACCAAUAAGCUACUUGUUUAAU